rnacentral:lncRNA from 13 species
AUGUACCUAUGUGCAGAAAAACAGGAAUUAGUGAGGGAUAAAAAGAGAAGUUGGUCAGGAGGAAGUAGGUGGUUCGUUAGGCAAUCUGUGGGUGAGGGUUCUGGCAUCACAUUGUCCAAAUGCAGUGAACUGGCCAGUUUCAACUCCUUGAUACUGUUUGGGAAACCUGCUAGUUGGUUUUCUGAGAAAGGAACUCAGGAAAUGUACCCAAAAAGAACUCUGAGAGAAUAUACUCAAUUGUUCUGCUGUGAUUAAACAAGACUGCUGUAUUUUGUAAGUUCAUCUACUUUUAUCUUUAUUUUUUAAAUAAGGAAGACUUUCUGCUGUAGAAAAUCUUUUUUCUCAUUUGGAAUUAGAGUCUAAUUUUGUUUUAAUAGAAGGUUUAAUUGAUUUUAUUUUUUUCAAACUUUGUUUUACCUCAGUUUUAUUCAGUUUCAAUGAAUAAUGAAAAGGCAUUUUUUUUUUAGAUUAACUCUGUUUCCUUGUAUCUAUUGGGCAAUAUUUUAAUGACUCACGAUAAGAAUCUUAUCAGUUGGUAAAAGGACAGUGCUAUCAGUAAUGCUGACUUGAUGUGGGCAAAUAUAUUGGAAAUUGUAAUGUCCUCCACUUCAGUGAACGAAUACAUUUGAUUUUAUCUGUAGAAACUGACUUUAUGAAGGUAGCUAAAUACUGACCCUCUUUCGGAUAUGUUGUAAUUUUAUCUUGCUACUAAUACUUAGAUUAUACAUUCAAGGAUUAUAAUAUAUAUCAUGAUGAGGUAUGUACUAUAUGACUUUGAUGUUUUAGGAUAUAACAUUCAUUUUUGCACUACAUGAUUUAGUUGUAUUAGAAUAUAACACAUAUUUAUUUCACAUGACCCAGAGCAACCAAAGGCUUUGUGUAGAAAUCAUGAAUGACAUUAAAUUGAAUGUUUCCUGAAUCUUCAUGUUUACAAUCCUUCUGAUUAUCUCAAAGUUGAAAUUUUUCUAUUUCAGUUUCUGAAACAAUAUAAAACAAAUAGGUUUUUUCCUCCUUUACAAACUGCCUUCUGAUAUUGAGAUAAAAUAAUCCCUUUGCCCAUAAUUAGUUUCCUAUGACAGGAAACUAGUCAUAGAAAUAUAGUUUCUAGUAGGUUGAGAAAAUGUAAUACAUGUCAUUUAUUUGGACACUUGCAGCAUUUUUUUUUUUUUUUUUUUGGCUUUUCAUUCAAGCAGACUCUUUUUUUCAGGAGCAAAAAAUAUGACUGCAUCCCCUUAUAGUAAAUGAAUGGAGGAUCAACUAGAUGAAAAGAUGUAUCUAAAUUUCUGAAUUCAGUGGCAUAAUAGUCAUUACAAGUGCUCUUCAUCAGGGUAUUUUUAUUACCCCAAUAUUUUGAACAACUUAAAUGCUGAGUAUGGUAACGUAAAGAACAUAUUUAAGGGUUAGAACAGUUUUUAGAAAUUUUUCCAGUAAUUCUGAAGGCAUAAAUAGUUCAAAAAGAUCUUGAAAUUGGUGGAAAAAAUCACAUAAAAAGGGGAACCUUUGUAAAGACAAAUUUUAACAUAUAUUGUGAAACAAAAAUAAAGAUUACAUAGAAGAUUUACCCA